rnacentral:rRNA from 1 species
ACCACAACAGGUGGAGCCUGCGGUUUAAUCGGACUCAACGCCGGGAAACUCACCAGAUAAGACAGCUGAAUGAUAGUCGGGCUGAAGACUCUACUUGACUAGCUGAGAGGAGGUGCAUGGCCGUCGUCAGUUCGUACUGUGAAGCAUCCUGUUAAGUCAGGCAACGAGCGAGACCCACGCCAACAGUUGCCAGCUCGUCCUCCGGGAUGGUGGGGACACUGUUGGGACCGCCUCUGGCUAAAGAGGAGGAAGGAAUGGGCAACGGUAGGUCCAGCAUGCCCCGAAUAUCCCGGGCUACACGCGAGCUACAAUGGUUGGUACAAUGGGGUAUCUACCCCGAAAGGGGACGGGAAUCUCCUAAAACCAAUCUUAGUUCGGAUUGAGGGCUGCAACUCGCCCUCAUGAAGCUGGAAUCCGUAGUAAUCGCGUUUCAACAGAACGCGGUGAAUACGUCCCUGCUCCUU